AGCGAACGCUGGCGGCAGGCCUAACACAUGCAAGUCGAGCGCCGUAGCAAUACGGAGCGGCAGACGGGAGAGUAACACGUGGGAACGUACCCUUUGGUUCGGAACAACCCAGGGAAACUUGGGCUAAUACCGGAUAAGCCCUCACGGGGAAAGAUUCAUCGCCGAAGGAUCGGCCCGCGUCUGAUUAGCUAGUUGGUGGGGUAAUGGCCCACCAAGGCGACGAUCAGUAGCUGGUCUGAGAGGAUGAUCAGCCUCACUGGGACUGAGACACGGCCCAGACUCCUACGGGAGGCAGCAGUGGGGAAUAUUGGACAAUGGGCGCAAGCCUGAUCCAGCCAUGCCGCGUGGGUGAUGAAGGCCCUAGGGUUGUAAAGCCCUUUCGGCGGGGAAGAUAAUGACGGUACCCGCAGAAGAAGCCCCGGCUAACUUCGUGCCAGCAGCCGCAGUAAAAC
rnacentral:rRNA from 1 species